rnacentral:rRNA from 1 species
AACGAACGCUGGCGGCAGGCCUAACACAUGCAAGUCGAGCGCGCCCUUCGGGGUGAGCGGCGGACGGGUGAGUAACGCGUGGGAACGUGCCCUUUUCUACGGAAUAGCCUCGGGAAACUGAGAGUAAUACCGUAUACGCCCUUUGGGGGAAAGAUUUAUCGGAAAAGGAUCGGCCCGCGUUGGAUUAGGUAGUUGGUGGGGUAAUGGCCUACCAAGCCGACGAUCCAUAGCUGGUUUGAGAGGAUGAUCAGCCACACUGGGACUGAGACACGGCCCAGACUCCUACGGGAGGCAGCAGUGGGGAAUCUUAGACAAUGGGGGCAACCCUGAUCUAGCCAUGCCGCGUGAGUGAUGAAGGCCGUAGGGUUGUAAAGCUCUUUCAGCUGGGAAGAUAAUGACGGUACCAGCAGAAGAAGCCCCGGCUAACUCCGUG